AGCGAACGCUGGCGGCAGGCCUAACACAUGCAAGUCGAACGAAGUCUUCGGACUUAGUGGCGGACGGGUGAGUAACACGUGGGAACGUACCUUUUGGUUCGGAACAACACAGGGAAACUUGUGCUAAUACCGGAUGAGCCCUUAGGGGGAAAGAUUUAUCGCCAUUAGAGCGGCCCGCGUUGGAUUAGGUAGUUGGUGGGGUAAAGGCCCACCAAGCCUACGAUCCAUAGCUGGUCUGAGAGGAUGAUCAGCCACACUGGGACUGAGACACGGCCCAGACUCCUACGGGAGGCAGCAGUGGGGAAUCUUGCGCAAUGGUCGAAAGACUGACGCAGCCAUGCCGCGUGAAUGAUGAAGGUCUUAGGAUUGUAAAAUUCUUUAGCAG
rnacentral:rRNA from 1 species